CCAUUUGACUUUUACCGAACUUACAAUCAGAUUUCUCCUAUCGGACUCAUAUGAAAAUGUAUUCACAGUUUCCUAUUUAUGUUCGUUUUUCGUCGGAUACGAAUUUCUGAAUGCAGCCACGUUCAUAUCACUCAGAAGGCAGGGUAAAGCGCUCCGAGAACGACGCGAUGUCAACGAAGCGACUUUAAGAGCAUUGAAAAGCCGACAG